rnacentral:tRNA from 1 species
UCUCUGGUGGUCUAGUGGUUAGAAAUCAGCACUUACACUGCUGUGGCUUGGGUUCAAUCCCUGUCUGGGAA